AUACGUAGGGUGCAAGCGUUAAUCGGAAUUACUGGGCGUAAAGCAUGCGCAGGCGGUUUUGUAAGACAGAGGUGAAAUCCCCGGGCUCAACCUGGGAACUGCCUUUGUGACUGCAAGGCUAGAGUACGGCAGAGGGGGAUGGAAUUCCGCGUGUAGCAGUGAAAUGCGUAGAUAUGCGGAGGAACACCGAUGGCGAAGGCAAUCCCCUGGGCCUGUACUGACGCUCAAGCACGAAAGCGUGGGGAGCAAACAGGAUUAGAAACCCUGGUAGGCCACGCCCUAAACGAUGUCAACUGGGUGUUGGGUCUUCAUUGACUCAGUAACGAAGCUAACGCGAGAAGUUGACCGCCUGGGGAGUACGGCCGCAAGGUUAAAACUCAAAUGAAUUGACGGGG
rnacentral:rRNA from 1 species